UACGUAGGGUCCUAGCGUUGUCCGGAUUUACUGGGUGUAAAGGGUGCGCAGGCGGACUGAUAAGUCAGGGGUGAAAUCUCACAGCUCAACUGUGAAACUGCCUUUGAUACUGUCAGUCUUGAAUAAGCGAGAGAUUCGUGGAAUUCCGAGUGUAGCAGUGAAAUGUGUAGAUAUUCGGAAGAACACCAGUGGCGAAGGCAGCGAAUUGGCGCUUUAUUGACGCUCAGGCACGAAAGCAUGGGGAUCAAACAGG
rnacentral:rRNA from 1 species